UACGUAGGAUGCAAGCGUUGUCCGGAAUUAUUGGGCGUAAAGAGUUCGUAGGCGGUGAUCUAAGUCUGGUGUUAAAGACGGGAGCUCAACUCCCGCAUGGCAUUGGAAACUGGAUUGCUAGAGUGUGGUAGAGGUAACUGGAAUUCCAGGUGUAGCGGUGAAAUGCGUAGAUAUCUGGAGGAACACCAGUGGCGAAAGCGAGUUACUGGCCCACAACUGACGCUGAGGAACGAAAGCCAGGGUAGCAAAAGGG
rnacentral:rRNA from 2 species